rnacentral:rRNA from 1 species
CCCUUAGAUGUUCUGGGCCGCACGCGCGCUACACUGAUGCAUUCAACGAGCCUAUCCUUGACCGACAGGUCCGGGUAAUCUUUGAAUCUGCAUCGUGACGGGGAUAGAUUAUUGCAAUUAUUAAUCUUCAACGAGGAAUGCCUAGUAGGCGCAAGUCAUCAGCUUGCGUCGAUUACGUCCCUGCCCUUUGUACACACCGCCCGUCGCUCCUACCGAUUGGGUGUGCUGGUGAAAUGUUCGGAUCGGCCGUUUGUCGCGGUUUCCGCGGCUUGUGGCUGAGAAGUUCAUUAAACCCUCCCACCUAGAGGAAGGAGAAGUCGUAACA